CUCGAGACAUAUUGGAAAAUGUAAGUAUGAAGCAGGAUAUCCGCAUGUUGUUAUCUGUAUGGGGAGAGUUUUGCUCAGAAGCCUUUCCAUUAUUACUUACCCUAUGCUUAUAUUUGCCCUUACUCUUAUCCUUUAUAAAGUAAAGUCCCGCUCUUGUUCUAGUGGCUUCACCAAACCAUAACUGUCCCUUUGGGAUUAGGGAGUUGAACUGUAAGCUUCUGUCUAACAACAAUUUCUUUUUGCAGCUCCUAAAGAAAGAUCCAGAGCAGCGCCUUGGGGCCGGAGAACAUGGAGCCGAGGGCGUAAAGAAGAGCCCAUUCUUUGAGGGAUUAGACUGGGAGGCUCUUGAAAAGAAAGAGAUCGAGCCGCCAUUUAUCCCCAGAGGAAGAGCACACGGACAACCUGAAAUCAGCCUUAAACUAAAGGCUCAGGUUGAAGCCAAAGUGUGCGAAGAAGCCGAAUGGGCACUGGUGGAGCUGAACUACCCUUUGAGUUCAGCUUCAGAAACAGAAGAAGAAUUGUAAGAAGCGUUCCUCGGAAUGAAGCAGAGAUGAUUGGCAGGAAGAAAGUCUGUUCCCAGCUUGAGAAAUCCAAUCAGCGUUCCGGAGUCCUAUUAUGGAUUGAAAAUGCAAACGUCGCAACUCCGGGAGUAGGAAAAGGGGUGAGUCUGUUGGGCAGGAUGUCGGGUCAGUCAAGAGUUAAUUUGCCCAACAGGGGUGGAGGAGGGUUCAACUUUAAGGCAAAAACAUGGCUUAAAGUUAAAAAAAAACGAAACAAAGUCAUGAUCGUCAGGUUAAUGGCUAUGGGCCGUCAACGGCAACCUGUAAGGACUUUGCUAUAUUGGUCGGAUCUCUGAAGGAAACUGGAUCCCAGUGCACAUUGCAGCAGAAAGUCCGGGGGCCAAAAGGGCGUCGGUGAAGCCCAAUGUUAGCCGGGGUUCAGCUGUACGUGGAAGAGUCUGACUUCGUCAGGAGGACUAAGAGUUAAUUUGCCCAACAGGGGGGAGGAGGGUUCAAACACAUGAAGAUGAAGAAGAUAUCAAAGUGACUAUACAAAUACAGAUCUGUUUCAAGUUGAUGAAGAAAGAAGGAAGACAAAGUGGAAUGAUAUCCCUACAGCUGUAUCUUGUGUACUUACCUUCAGCCCCAAUAUAACCAAAUAAAGAGAAUUGUUGAUAAAACUGUAA